CUUCUUUAGUACGAGAGGAUUAGGAAGGAUCCAUCCCUGGUGAUUCAGUUGGGGCGCCAGCCCCAUCGCUGAGUAGCUACAUGGAGCAGGGAUAACCGCUGAAAGCAUCUAAGCGGGAAGCCCCCCUCAAGAUUAGGUCUGCAUGCACUUAGUGUGAGAGACCCCUGGAAGACCACCAGGUUGAUAGGCCGCAGCUGUAAGCGCCGAAAUGCGCUCAGGCGAGCGGUACUAACGGUCAAAGAUUUGAUCAC
rnacentral:rRNA from 1 species